UACGGGGGGGGCAAGCGUUGUCCGGAUUUAUUGGGCGUAAAGGGCUCGCAGGCGGCUCGAUCAAGUCGUGCGUGAAAUCUCUCGGCUCAACUGGGAGCGGUCGUGCGAUACUGAUCAGCUUGAGGCCGGUAGGGGGAAGCGGAAUUCCGGGUGUAGUGGUGGAAUGCGUAGAUAUCCGGAGGAACACCAGUGGCGAAGGCGGCUCACUGGUCCGGUACUGACGCUGAGGUGCGAAAGCGUGGGGAGCAAACAGG
rnacentral:rRNA from 1 species